rnacentral:rRNA from 1 species
GUGCCAGCCGCCGCGGUAAUACCGGCAGCCCGAGUGAUGGCCGAUCUUAUUGGGCCUAAAGCGUCCGUAGCUGGCUGCGCAAGUCCGUCGGGAAAUCCACUCGCCCAACGAGUGGGCGUCCGACGGAAACUGCACAGCUUGGGACCGGAAGACCCGAGGGGUACGUCCGGGGUAGGAGUGAAAUCCUGUAAUCCUGGACGGACCGCCGAUGGCGAAAGCACCUCGGGAGGACUGAUCCGACGGUGAGGGACGAAAGCUGGGGUCUCGAACCGGAUUAGAAACCCUGGUAGUCC